UGAUGUUCUCAGGGCAGGGUGAAAAUCCCUACCGGCGGUAAGCAGCGCACAGCGUUGUAAGCCCGCGAGCGCCCGCUUAUGGCGGGGUCAGCAGAUCCGGUGCAAUUCCGGGGCCGACGGUUACAGUCCGGAUGGAAGAGAACAGAA
rnacentral:ncRNA from 2 species